UCGAGGAUCUUCGGCAAUGGGGGCAACCCUGACCGAGCGACGCCGCGUGUGCGAUGAAGGCCUUCGGGUUGUAAAGCCCUUUAGUGGGGGAGAAAAGCCGAAAGGUGUGAUCUAUCCCAAAAAUAAGCACGGGCUAAGUUCGUGCCAGCAGCCGCGGUAAGACGAACCGUGCGAACGUUAUUCGGAAUCACUGGGCUUAAAGGGUGCGUAGGCGGGCUGUCAAGUCUGGGGUGAAAUCCCACGGCUCAACCGUGGAACUGCCUUAGAUACUGUUGGCCUCGAGGGAGGUAGGGGCAUGCGGAACUGUAGGUGGAGCGGUGAAAUGCGUUGAUAUCUACAGGAACGCCGGUGGCGAAAGCGGCGUGCUGGACCUCUGCUGACGCUGAGGCACGAAAGCUAGGGGAGCAAACGG
rnacentral:rRNA from 1 species